GGGGCUACUCAUUUAAACUUACAAAAAUACUAAUUAAAAUAACCAAAUCGAAAAACAUUACCUAAAUUAAUUAAAAAAUAAAUUGCCUAAAUUAUGCAAUUUUAAGAACCUGCAGAAGGGCCCUGACAGGUGAAAAAUUUAUUUUAGAACCUGACUGGUAGAGCCCAGGCAGGUAUAAAUUUUAAAAAUGAGAAUACCUGCGGUAGAUUCCAA
rnacentral:lncRNA from 1 species